rnacentral:rRNA from 21 species
CGCCUUUGGACAAUGAUCAAAGGUCCGGCCUGCCCGGUGACAAUAGUUAAACGGCUGCAGUACUCUGACUGUGCAAAGGUAGCAAAAUCAAUUGUUCAUUAAUUGUGGACUGGUAUCAAUGGCUUGACGAUAGAAAAACUGUCUCUUUCUACUUCCUUAGAACUUUAUUAAAGAGUGAAGAAGCUCUUAUAAGUUAGCGGGACGAGAAGACCCCGUUGAGCUUUAGGUGCUUAAAUUUACUUAAAAAUUUACCACUUUUGGUUGGGGCAACCGAUUUUAAUAUUAAACAAAAAUAAUCAAAAAAUGAAUUAAAUCUUAGCUUUAAGCCUUAACUUUAAGAAAAUAUAAUAAGUUACCACGGGGAUAACAGCGUAAUUUUUUUUGAGAGUUCUUAUUGACAAAAAAGUUUGCGACCUCGAUGUUGGAUCAUAACACCCCAGGGGUGCAGCAGCUCCUAAAGGUUGGUUUGUUCAACCAUUAAAGUUAU